rnacentral:rRNA from 1 species
AAUUCGAUUGAGUUUGAUCAUGGCUCAGGAUGAACGCUGGCGGUAUGCUUAACACAUGCAAGUCGAACGGAAGUCUUAGGACUUUAGUGGCGGACGGGUGAGUAACGCGUGAGAAUCUGGCGAUGGGUUCGGGACAACAGCGGGAAACUGCUGCUAAUACCGGAUAAACCGAGAGGUAAAAGACUAGUUUGCCCGUUGAUGAGCUCGCGUCUGAUUAGCUAGUUGGUGGGGUAAAGGCUUACCAAGGCGGCGAUCAGUAGCUGGUCUGAGAGGAUGACCAGCCACACUGGGACUGAGACACGGCCCAGACUCCUACGGGAGGCAGCAGUGGGGAAUUUUCCGCAAUGGGCGAAAGCCUGACGGAGCAAUACCGCGUGAGGGAGGAAGGCUCUUGGGUUGUAAACCUCUUUUCUCAGGGAAGAAAAAAAUGACGGUACCUGAGGAAUCAGCAUCGGCUAACUCCGUGCCAGCAGCCGCGGUAAUACGGAGGAUGCAAGCGUUAUCCGGAAUGAUUGGGCGUAAAGCGUCCGCAGGUGGCUCAUCAAGUCGAUUGUCAAAGAUUGGAGCUUAACUCCGAAGCGGCAGUGGAAACUGGAGAGCUAGAGUGUGAUAGGGGUAGAGGGAACUCCCGGUGUAGCGGUGAAAUGCGUAGAGAUCGGGAAGAACACCAGUGGCGAAAGCGCUCUACUAGGUCACAACUGACACUCAGGGACGAAAGCUAGGGGAGCGAAUGGGAUUAGAUACCCCAGUAGUCCUAGCCGUAAACGAUGG